GUAAACGGCGGCCGUAACUAUAACGGUCCUAAGGUAGCGAAAUUCCUUGUCGGGUAAGUUCCGACCUGCACGAAUGGCGUAACGAUCUCCACACUGUCUCGGCCAGAGACUCGGUGAAAUUGCAGUCGCGGUGAAAAUUCCGUGUACCCGCAGAAAGACGGAAAGACCCUGUGCACCUUUACUAUAGCUUGACAUUGGAUUUUGGGCCUGCAUGUGUAGGAUAGGUGGGAGGCUGUGAACCCUGUACGCCAGUAUGGGGGGAGCCAUCCUUGAAAUACCACCCUUGCAUGUUUAAGAUCCUAACUUCUUCCGGUUAUCCCGGAGAAAGACAGUGUCUGGCGGGUAGUUUGACUGGGGCGGUCGCCUCCUAAAGUGUAACGGAGGCAUGCAAAGGUUCCCUCAGCCUGAUCGGAAACCAGGCGCUGAGUGCAAACGCAUAAGGGAGCUUGACUGUAAGAGAGACAUCUCGAACAGGAACGAAAGUUGGCGUUAGUGAUCCGGUGGUCCCGAAUGGAAGGGCCAUCGCUCAUUGGAUAAAAGGUACGCCGGGGAUAACAGGCUGAUCGCAUCCAAGAGUUCACAUCGACGAUGCGGUUUGGCACCUCGAUGUCGGCUCAUCACAUCCUGGGGCUGAAGCAGGUCCCAAGGGUACGGCUGUUCGCCGUUUAAAGUGGUACGCGAGCUGGGUUUAAAACGUCGUGAGACAGUUUGGUCCCUAUCUUCUGUGGGCGAAGGAGAAUUGAGAGGGCCUGUCCCUAGUACGAGAGGACCGGGAUGGACGCACCCCUGGUGAUCCUGUUGUCGCGCCAGCGGCAUAGCAGGGUAGCUAUGUGCGGAAGGGAUAACCGCUGAAAGCAUCUAAGCGGGAAGCCUGCCUCAAGAUAAGUUCUCCCCUCGAAAGAGCUGAAGGGCCCGGGUAGACUACCCGGUCGAUAGGCUGGAGGUGUAAGCGCGGCGACGUGCUCAGCUGACCAGUACUAAUAGCCCGAGCGGCUUAUUUUU
rnacentral:rRNA from 2 species